ensembl:lncRNA
GGUAGGAGUAAGCCUACCUAUUAACAGAGAAGGCGCGCGAGGUGGUGGCGAGCGGCGUGGUGGCCCGCGGGGCGCAAGUGCCCGUUCUGUCGCUCGCCGUGCCGGCUGUCAGGGUGACGGACGGCGGUUGUUUUUACGGGAGACCCACAGGUCGGAAUGGUUGAAGGGCACACUGGGGGAACAUGGUAGUCAGCGACAAUGGAAACCUUUCAACUGUAUGUUCAAGAGUAUCUUUGGGGACCGACAAACACUAUUUCCUUGCAAACGACCACCGGGUCAAAGACGUCCUUACACUGGAUUAAUUGGGCCUUGCAAUAUUGAAUCCUGCGUCGUCUCCUGCCGUACAUCCAUUGAGUCAUAUCUUGGUCAGGUUUUUUUAACAUGUACGGCACCUUUUGCAACUCACUAAUCAUACUUCAAACAAUAUGAAUGAAAGAAAUGACACACAGAUCAUUCACAGUUGUCGGAGCUUUGAAACGUGCUGUUUAAAGAUAGCAUUUAUUGUGGGGUUAUUGUUGUGACAAAACACCUACCUACUAUUUCCUGUAAAUCAUCAUGUACAAUAUCAAAUCAUAGUAUCGUAUGUUUGUUUAUGUUUGAUAUUUAUUGCAAGAGGGGCCAUUUGAUCUAAUCUCUCGUCCAUUUACAGUCUAUAAGUACAUACGCUGGAAAUGAUUGUACUGAACGUUUUUGGCCACAGACAUAUUUGUUGAACAAAGAAAAACAAGGAUUUUAGAUGAGAAUCCACAAAGAUAUUGCACGAUGAUAAGAUUGUGCAGUUCAACACC